rnacentral:misc_RNA from 1 species
AGCGAUUCUUUUCUUUGUUCUUUCCCAUCAUUCUACGCACCCUUUCAGAUUGUCUCAAUAACCCUAAAAAUUUGCAAUUGCCCAUCUGCAUCCCCCUCUUCUCCAGUCUUAUCUCUCUCUUUAUUACAGUUAGGAUUUCUUGUCUAAUUUCUCCCAAACUCGAUCACAUGCCCCUUGAUCUUUGAUCGCAUACAGUAAUCGAUUUCAUUUCUCUCAAGUUAGAAUUCAUCUCGCCGGGGAUUUUCAAGAUUUCCGGCCACUAACGCGAGCAAUAUGGCGACCGCCUUGCAGAUGAGCCCCCAGUUGGAGCAGA